rnacentral:lncRNA from 1 species
UCCCUGGUUCCUGUGGGGUGGUGGUCAGUGACCCCCCUCAGGACUGGUGUACCCAUCGCCCCUCUCAUCUCUGCAGCUGCUGUGGGUGAUCCGAGGCCGAGUGAGUCUGUGAAUGGAGUGUCUGCUGCCGACCUGAGCGCUGUCCAGCUGGAGACGUCUUUUGGAAGGUAACAUCACCCUGCCAUCCAGACCACAACACUACACUAUGUGAUUUCAGAGAACUUUCUUCAAGCUCAAGAAAAUAUAUCAACUUUCAGUCUUAACAUUUGCUUGGAAAUCCAUUUUUCUGAGCAUUCUGAAGCAGUUUGAGACAUCAGGCUCAUUUGAAGAGAACACAAGCUACAUACCAGAACAAUACAAGCCACAGCAAUAUUUUUGAAGAAAGCAUCUUUCAGGUCUCCAGAUAUUUAUGCAUUGCUUGAAAAUGAGUAUGGAAGUUCUCCAAUAACUUUACCAAACUGUGCAGUCAUGUAUUUCAGGGAGAACAAAUAUACAAGAGCACAAAUGCAGUAUAUCUUCCUCUGCCUAUGAAGAAU